CGGGGCUCCAAGUGUCCACGCUCUGAGGAGAGUUGGCGACAGGUCCUAGGCCGUGAGUUAAGGGGAUAUAAUCAGCUAUCUGGGCCUGUGUGGUGGCACACUCCUGUAAUUCCAGCACAUGGGAGGCUGAGGGAGCAAGUUCAAGCACUGGGGAUUUGGACCCAGGACUUUGUCCUGUGUGACAGCCAAGCACUCUACUACUGAGCUACACUCCCUGCCCAACCUCAAGUACUUCGUUAAUGUCUUCAGAAGACUCACCCAGUUCAGCCCCUUACCACCUGCAGGGGUAUGUGCAGAGGGAAGGCUGAUGCAUUCAGCCCAGUCUGCUAAGUGGCCGCACUCACAGUGAAAAGAUUGGCCUGCUUUGGAAUAUCAAAUACCUCCUCUUUGGAGGGGAAGGAAGAUGAAAGCAAUGACAUCCACACUCCCCCAGAGCAUCUCCCCAGCACAGCCUGAGCUCUUGCAAUGGGGUUUUGUCGGGAGAGCUCAUCACCUGGAGUGGUCAGGAGGGCUCAGUCACUGUGCGGUCACUGGGGGAGAAGACCUCGUGGCUUCAGCCUAGCCUGCUGAGGAAGCUCUUGGAGUCAGGGUGUCAGAGGGCUGAGACCCCACAGGAAGUGCAGAGCCGGAUGGGAAGGAGAGGUGACCACAUCCUGCAUUUCUCUGUGGUUCCCCCAGGAACCAGUAACACAGCCUGGAGGCUCAGCAGAGGAAAACCAAGAAGCCAAAUGAAAACCACAAUGAAAUACUCCUUCAUAUCCGCCAGCAUUGCUAUCAUGAAAAGAAAGAUAAUAACAAGUGCUGGUGAAGAUGUGGGGAAAUAGGAGCCCUCAGGCACUGUUGGUGGAUAGCUGCUUUGCACAGUAAUCUAGCAUUCCCAAAAGGUUAAAUAGAGACUUGUCUUUCAACACAGCAAUUCCACUUUUAGGUGCAUACCCAAAAGAAAUGGAAAUUUUGGUCCACAUGAAAACCUGUCCCUUAAUGUUUGGAGCAGCAUUAGGCAUAAUGACCAAAAAAUGAAAAGUACCCAACAGUUCUGCUGUUAAGAUUGAGAAGUUUUUGUGGUGUCUGAA
rnacentral:lncRNA from 1 species